rnacentral:rRNA from 1 species
GACGAACGCUGGCGGCGUGCCUAAUACAUGCAAGUAGAACGCUGAAGGAGGAGCUUGCUUCUCUGGAUGAGUUGCGAACGGGUGAGUAACGCGUAGGUAACCUGCCUGGUAGCGGGGGAUAACUAUUGGAAACGAUAGCUAAUACCGCAUAAUAGUAGAUGUUGCAUGACAUUUGCUUAAAAGGUGCACUUGCAUCACUACCAGAUGGACCUGCGUUGUAUUAGCUAGUUGGUGGGGUAACGGCUCACCAAGGCGACGAUACAUAGCCGACCUGAGAGGGUGAUCGGCCACACUGGGACUGAGACACGGCCCAGACUCCUACGGGAGGCAGCAGUAGGGAAUCUUCGGCAAUAGACGGAAGUCUGACCGAGCAACGCCGCGUGAGUGAAGAAGGUUUUCGGAUCGUAAAGCUCUGUUGUAAGAGAAGAACGAGUGUGAGAGUGGAAAGUUCACACUGUGACGGUAUCUUACCAGAAAGGGACGGCUAACUACGUG